GUUAAGCUACUAAGAGCAUAGGGUGAAUGCCUUGGCACCAAGAGCCGAUGAAGGACGUGAUAAGCUGCGAAAAGCUAUGGGGAGGAGCAAAUAUCCAUUAUAUCCAUAGAUAUCCGAAUGAGGGAACUCAGCUGGUGGAAAAAGACCAGUUAUCCAUACAUAAGUAAAGUAGUGUAUGUGAAGGGAACGUGGGGAACUGAAACAUCUAAGUACCCACAGGAAAAGAAAGAAAACUCGAUUCCUUAAGUAGUGGCGAGCGAAAGAGGAAGAGCCUAAACCAGAAGAAGUAAUUCUACUGGGGUUAUGGACUACAUAAUUGAUUCAUGAGAUUUAGCAGAACUGUUUGGAAAAUCAGACCAAAGAUAGUGAAAGUCUAGUAAGCGAAAAAUCAAAUGACAUGGUAGUAUCCAGAGUAGUGCGAGACACGGGAAAUCUCGUAUGAAAAAUGGGGGACCACCCCCAAAGGCUAAAUACUACUUGGUGACCGAUAGUGAAGCAGUACCGUGAGGGAAAGGUGAAAAGAACCCCGGGAGGGGAGUGAAAGAGAACCUGAAACCCUAUGUUUACAAGCAGACAAAGCACGUUAAGGUGCGAUGUCGUACUUUUUGUAGAACGGUCCGGCGAGUUAUUUUAUAUGGCAAGGUUAAGUACUUAAGGUACGAAGCCGAAGAGAAAUCGAGUCUGAACAGGGCGACUAAGUCAUAUGAAAUAGACCCGAAACCGGGUGACCUAUCCAUGGUCAGGUUGAAGCUUGAGUAAAAUCAAGUGGAGGACCGAACCCAUAAGCGUUAAAAAGCUUCGGGAUGAACUGUGGAUAGCGGAGAAAUUCCAAUCGAACUCGGAGAUAGCUGGUUCUCCUCGAAAUAGUUUUAGGACUAGCCUUGUUUAGUAGUACGUGGGGGUAGAGCACUGAAGGAGCUAGGGGCCAAACCAGGUUACCGAACUCUAUCAAACUCCGAAUACCAUGUAUGUAAGAACAGGAGUCAGACUGUGGGAGCUAAGUUCCAUGGUCAAAAGGGAAAGAGCCCAGAUCGUCAAUUAAGGUCCCAAAGAUAUAGUUAAGUGGAAAACGAUGUGAUUUUGCGUAAACAACCAGGAUGUUGGCUUAGAAGCAGCCAUUCAUUUAAAGAGUGCGUAAUAGCUCACUGGUCGAGUGAAGUUGCGCGGAAAAUUACCGGGGCUAAACUAUACACCGAAAUUGCGGAUUCAUACGUAAGUAUGAGUGGUAGAGGAGCAUUCUGUUGUAGGACGAAGCAUGAUCGAAAGGACAUGUGGACGAAGCAGAAGAGAGAAUGCCGGAAUAAGUAGCGAAAGCAUGGUGAGAAUCCAUGCCAUCGAAAGUCUAAGGUUUCCUGGGGAAGGUUCGUCCGCCCAGGGUAAGUCGGGACCUAAGGUGAGGCCGAAAGGCGUAGCCGAUGGACAGCAGGUAGAAAUUCCUGCACCACCGAUAUACUUAAAAAGCACAAGGGACACAGAAGUGGAAGAGAAGCGAGGAAGAGGAAAAACUCGUAUCGAAAGAUAUAGUGAAAAUAAAGUAACGAAUUCUCAAGAAGCACACUGGCGAGAAAAGCUUGUGAGUCUUGUAUAUAGGUGCCCGUACCGCAAACCGACACAGGUAGAUGAGGAGAAGAUCCUAAGAUGAGCGAGAGAAGCAUUGUUAAGGAACUCGGCAAAUUGACCCCGUAACUUAGGGAGAAGGGGUACCGGUGUAACAGCCGGUCGCAGUGAAUCGGUCCAAGCAACUGUUUAACAAAAACACAGGUUUCUGCUAAAUCGAAAGAUGAAGUAUAGGAGCUGACGCCUGCCCAGUGCUGGAAGGUUAAGGGGAAGGGUUAUUCGUAAGAAGAAGCUUUGAACCAAAGCCCCAGUGAACGGCGGCCGUAACUAUAACGGUCCUAAGGUAGCGAAAUUCCUUGUCAGGUAAGUUCUGACCCGCACGAAAGGCGUAAUGAUUUGGGCACUGUCUCAACAGCCCGCCCGGCGAAAUUGUAGUACCGGUGAAGAUGCCGGUUUCCCGCAACUAGACGGAAAGACCCCAUGGAGCUUCACUGUAGCUUGAUAUUGGAUCUCGGUAUUCCAUGUACAGGAUAGGUGGGAGGCUAGGAAGUAAGCGCGCCAGCGUUUAUGGAGCCAACCUUGGGAUACCACUCUUGGGAUAUUGGGAUUCUAACCUGCGACCAUGAAUCUGGUCGGGGGACACUGUCAGGUGGGCAGUUUGACUGGGGCGGUCGCCUCCAAAAGAGUAACGGAGGCGCGCAAAGGUUUCCUCAGCACGGACAGAAAUCGUGCGAAAGAGUGCAAAGGCAGAAGGAAGCUUAACUGAAAGACUGACAAGUCGACCAGAUACGAAAGUAGGUCUUAGUGAUCCGGCGGUAGUGAGUGGAAAUGCCGUCGCUCAACGGACAAAAGUUACCCUGGGGAUAACAGGCUUAUCUCCCCCAAGAGUUCACAUCGACGGGGAGGUUUGGCACCUCGAUGUCGGCUCAUCACAUCCUGGAGCGGAAGUACGUUCCAAGGGUUGGGCUGUUCGCCCAUUAAAGUGGUACGCGAGCUGGGUUCAGAACGUCGUGAGACAGUUCGGUCCCUAUCUGUCGCAGGCGGAGGAUAUUUGAAGGGAGUUGGCCCUAGUACGAGAGGACCAGGCUGAACGAACCGCUGGUGCACCAGUUGUCAUACCAAUGGCACAGCUGGGUAGCUAAGUUCGGAAGGGAUAAACGCUGAAAGCAUCUAAGUGUGAAGCCCACCCUAAGAUAAGAUAUCCCAUACCGUAAGGUAGUAAGAUUCCACGUAGACUAUGUGGUUGAUAGGUUGGAGGUGUAAGUGCAGCAAUGCAUUAAGCUGACCAAUACUAAUAAAUCGAGGGCUUAA
rnacentral:rRNA from 1 species